AGCCGCAGGAGAGGAGGCUCACAACGGCCAGGCAGGCUCCGAUCUUCUCAAUGUGGUCCCUCGCUGUGGCGGCUUAGCUUAGAUCUUCUCUCAAACUCAGGCCGCUAGAGGGUCCCCACCGGGAAAGGGACACGCCAGGGCGUGGGGCAGAAAGAAAUCUCGCCAUUGCCGGGAAUGGGUAAAUCACUCAGGCCGCGUGGGUCCUUGGCAGAUGGCAGAGGCGGCUUCCCAGUCCCCCACCUGGCACUAGAGGGACGGGGCGCGCACCCAACGGUGGCACGCAUCGCCGAAUUUUCCUGAAUGCCGCUGUGGCACAUUCCUGGCCUUUGCAGUUAUUAGGAAAUGAGAGGAUCUUUUUUCCUUCUACUCUCCCCUCCCCCUGCCUUCGUUUUUCUUCCAGGCAUGGAAUUAUCUACUUUAGCAGUUCAAAAGACAUUCCAUUCCCAUGACAAAGACAGAAAGGGGUGAUGUUGGCAUACUGUAGCCCUCUUUCUCAUAGGGAGACUUGAGCAAUAAAUCAUAAUGAAUGAGAAUUUAAAA
ensembl:lncRNA LINC00887 long intergenic non-protein coding RNA 887